GACGAACGCUGGCGGCGUGCUUAACACAUGCAAGCCGAACGGAAAGGCCCUGCUUUUGUGGGGUGCUCGAGUGGCGAACGGGUGAGUAACACGUGAGUAACCUGCCCUUGACUUUGGGAUAACUUCAGGAAACUGGGGCUAAUACCGGAUAGGAGCUCCUGCUGCAUGGUGGGGGUUGGAAAGUUUCGGCGGUUGGGGAUGGACUCGCGGCUUAUCAGCUUGUUGGUGGGGUAGUGGCUUACCAAGGCUUUGACGGGUAGCCGGCCUGGGAGGGUGACCGGCCACAUGGGGACUGAGGUAGGGCGCAGACGGCUACGGGAGGCAGCAGUGGGGAGUAUUGCACAGUGGGCGGAAGCCUGAGGCGGCAACGCCGCGUGCGGGAUGACGUCCUUCGGGUUGUAAACCGCUUUCGCCUGUGACGAAGCGUGAGUGACGGUAAUGGGUAAAGAAGCACCGGCUAACUACGUG
rnacentral:rRNA from 1 species